rfam:Takifugu rubripes chromosome, Chr_19
GUCGGCUAUGGAGAUAUUUACCCCAAGACUCUUCUGGGAAAGAUAGUCGGAGGUUUGUGCUGCAUUGCUGGAGUGCUGGUGAUCGCGCUGCCCAUUCCGAUUAUCGUCAACAAC